AGGGUCUUUGAACCUGUGCAGAGCUCCUAUGCUAGAUAGAUAAGAGAAUUGGGGUACUCGGUUUUGCCCAUUCUCUUAAGAGUUAAGAAGGCAAAGGUUACUUAACUUCGCCCGCCUCCUCAAGGGUUGUACUUCAUGCAUCGAGCUGGUUACUAGCCUUCGCCCGCUCUUUUGCUCACACUUCUGAAGCACUCGAAGUGUUUACACUCCUUACGUUGAGUUAGCUACUGUGAUUCACUUUUUCAAUGUCAUUGAACUUCUGGAAUGCAAGAAGUUUUCACCCCAACGUGAAGCAAGUCUUUAAGAGUUUUGGUCACCUUUGGGAUUGUACCAUCUUCUUCGUCAUCUUUGUCACCUACUCCUUUGAGUCACAAAGGUACAACACUGCAUAUUGCCUACUUCGUUCCUUGAUCGAGCACUCUUACAUCAACCCAAAGUCCUCUACUUUCUACUAUCUUAAUGAGAAGCUCAUUGACACCGAUCUUACGAAGUUCCCUGGCCUCUGCCCUUCAGCCUUAUCUCGGUACUUGGAGUUUGCCUCUGCAUUCUCCACCUCCUCGGCCUUUUCCACGACCAAGCACUCUCCCUCCAUGAGAACAUGGGAUCGAUGACUUCACGGAAGUCCCGCCUCUACGAUACCAUAGCGCUGCCAUGCCCAUAGCCCUACUAUCCGUCGUCUCGUAUCUGCGUCCCUUUCUUCACGAUCGGUAGAUCUGCCUCUAUGGCACUCCUCCGAGUCCACCUUCAUUCUAACCGAUGCUUAGUUUUAGGUAGCUAAGUCCCUUUGGACUCGUCGUCGCUUCCUCGCUCCUUUUAACCCCUUGCUUCAACACCUCUAUAUUCUUCGAACAAUUACUCUUGGUCGAUGGAAAGACAGAUUGCAACUCUCAUACAUGGCCUCCACCAUCAUGUUGUAGGGUUCGCACCGAUUCUGUUCUCCUUAGCUUCCUUGGUAGCAACAUUCGCUUACUUGGCCUUGCCCUCUAACUUGCCGAGCUCCCUUAAGCGAAUAUGAGCUCUUGACCAGUCCAACUCUCCAACCGCUCCGAUCAUACCUCUGCAUGAUCAAGUCCACCCCCAUGGAACUCAGUGGUACUUGCAUUCGAAAUUCUCCCUCGGUGGUACACAGCCUCCAUAUGCUUAUAACCAAGGCUUUUAUCCGAUGCAAAAUUCGAUGCACGCACGGAAGACCUGCUUCUGCGAUACCAUGGCAUUCACUCCUUGAAUCCAUAGCUUUUUUUGUCGUCGUGUUAUUCACUAAAAUGGAGCUUCCAGUAGCUCCCGAUCAUUCCUUCGUAUGAUAUAAUCCCUCGCGAGACUAGUUUCGUGUGUAUCACAUUGCCACGAACUGUUCCACCACGAUCCGCUGCACCAUGUUGCCUCCUAGUGACAUCUUCAUUUCAUUCUGAUCAUUAUGGAAUGAACUCGGAUUGUGAUCCCUCUAUGUGUGGCCUCUGCCAAACACAUCAAAGGGCCUCUUCUACCUUCGAUUGUGUUCGCUCCUUUGGAAAUUGACCUUCGUCCACCCGCUCUCGGGUCACACCCAAACAAAGCACAACUCUAGGAUAGUCCAUCGCCUAGUAACUCCCGAAGUCCAUCGACUUCGUUUAAAUUGGUGCACCAUUGUCUGGAUCUUGGGCCUCUACCCCCACCAACACAAUCUCUGUUGUGCACCGCUUUCUUCAUGGCAACUCGAAUGGUAGCACUAUAGCGUAUUCUUCAAGAGUACCCGCCUACGCGUCCUCUUGCCCCGUGUCAAGGCCUUCUAAACCCAAUUUCACCUCCGCAAGUUAAGUCGCCUUGGUUCCUCCGUCAAAUGUUUCUCCGAGAUACGGUGCAGGUGCCUUGAAGCUCCCUUUAUCUUUGGCACCAUUCAAAAUAAGUCCGCUCCAUCAGAAUGAGGGACCCAUUGUCACGGACUUAGCUGGUUUUGCCUAAGUCGUGCGGCACCCUUGCGUGUCCGUCCGCAAAGGUCAGCCUCCCCGAAGCCUCCCAUUGUCCCUUAGGACCAACAAAAGAGAGAACGGGUUAGAGAGAACGCCUCAAUCGGGAUCCACAAGCAAACAUCUCUGAAAAACACUUCAUAGACAAUGCAAAUUACAAACAGACUUUACAAGCUCUGAACAGUUGCACAACAAAGGGUAAAAUGGUCCAUUACAGACCGAAAAUCUCUCGCACGUGUCCACAUGACACAACCUUUAUUUACAAGCCUAAAGAGGCCACCAACCCAACUAAAAUGGGACUAUUACGCCUUCGGCCGUCCCUCUACAUGCUGUACAAGGCAUGAACAUAUCAAAAGACACGGAUAUACAUAAGCAUUACAUCAAACAUCCUGUUUAGAAGUUUGUCCGUGACAUUCUCCCCCACUUAUUCCUUCGACGUCCUCGUUGAAGCCUUUGUCGACACUACAACUCCUCGCUUUUGCUGAGUCUUCAAUCUUCUGCUCCAGCUACAAUGCGCCUCUUGGCUCCUAGCUGCUCUCCGCUGCUGUUUUUGAGUAGUCGAACCUUUGAUCCGCCAUGCUGCUUCAACUCACCAAUGAUUCUGACUCUGGUGUGGGGUUGGCUGAGUUGCGUUAAUCCUUGUUGAUUCCUGCGGAUCCCCCAGAUGAAGGAAAAGACUAUCCUUACUGCGCCAGUCUCUCAAAUUCCUCAUGCUGCUUAAACUAGUUGGAUGCUUGUUGGAGCUUUAACGAGCAUCGUCUCGAAAACUUUUGAAGUUUUGGGUCCUUCCUCCACCAAAUUUGCUUAUUGACUCUUCUUUCACUUAGUUGUCACAUCCAAGUAGGUUCGCAUCACUUCCGCUUUCGAUUAGCAUUUCGUUGGGAAAUGAAGCGGACAAUCUACUCUCAGUAACACUGAUCACCGUUGGUGAGGAUUUGACAACUAUUGUCUUCCAUUAUCUUCGAAGGGUCUUUGAACAUAUGCAGAGCUCCUCUGCUGGAUAGAUAAGAGAAUUGGGGUACUCGGUUUCGCUCAUUCUCUUAAGAGUUGAGAAGGCAAAGGUUACUUAACUUCGCCCGCCUCCUCAAGGUUGUACUUCAUGCAUCGAGCUGGUUACUAGCCUUCGCCUGCUCUUUGCUCACACUUCUGAAGCACUUGAAGUGUUUACACUCCUUGCAUUGAGUUAGCUACUGUGAUUCACCUUCUUAAUGCCAUC
rnacentral:lncRNA from 1 species